rnacentral:rRNA from 1 species
UGGGGUGCUCGAGUGGCGAACGGGUGAGUAACACGUGAGUAACCUGCCCUUGACUUUGGGAUAACUUCAGGAAACUGGGGCUAAUACCGGAUAGGAGCUCCUGCUGCAUGGUGGGGGUUGGAAAGUUUCGGCGGUUGGGGAUGGACUCGCGGCUUAUCAGCUUGUUGGUGGGGUAGUGGCUUACCAAGGCUUUGACGGGUAGCCGGCCUGAGAGGGUGACCGGUCACAUUGGGACUGAGAUACGGCCCAG